rnacentral:lncRNA from 1 species
CAUUGAGGCUAGGUGACCAUCUGUCAGGGGUACUUUGCUUGUGCUUUUGGUGGACAAAGGUAGAAGGGGGUUGGACUCAAUGGCCCAAGGGGUCUCUUCCAACCCUUCUUCUUCUUCUUCUUCUUCUUCUUCUUCUUAUUAUUAUUAUUAUUAUUAUUAUUAUUAUUAUUAUUGACACAAAGACACAGUAUAACACAGCAAACAAUAUAUAUAUACCGGAUUUCGUAUCAUAAAAUCACAAGUUGAAGACUUUCCCAGUGUUUAGGACUGUGUGAUGUGUAUGAUGAUGAUGAAGAUGAAGAUGAUGAUGAUGAUUAUUAUUAUUAUUAACAUUGAGGCUAGGUGACCAUCUGUCAGGGGUGCUUUGCUUGUGCCUUUGGUGGUAGAAGGGGGUUGGACUCAAUGGCCCAAGGGGUCUCUUCCAACCCUUCUUCUUCUUCUUCUUCUUCUUCUUCUUCUUCUUCUUCUUCUUCUUCUUCUUCUUCUUCUUCUUCUUAUUAUUAUUAUUAUCAUCAUCAUCAUCAUUAUUAUAACAACAACAACUUUAUUUUUGUACCCCACCUCCAUCUCCCCAAGGGGACUCUUACAUGGAGAUGAGCCCAGUCAACAUCACAGAAUACAAUCACAUUAAAAUGCAUACACAUUAUCAUAAAACAGAAUAAAACAACAACAAUUAUAAACAACCUAGCAGUUGUGAUAGAAUAAAAACAAUCUCAACCCAACAACCAAUGAGUCUGUAAUAAAGUCCAUUUCUAGGCAUGGAUGGGUAGGCUGGCACAACUCACUUUGGAAAAUAGGGCUAAUGGAUAAAGUGCAUUAAGAUGGGAACAUUGUGACAUAGAGACCUUUCUCCCAUGCCACUGGAACAAAUAUGAGAAUGUUGAUCAGUUGAUCAGAAAAGAAAGCAAAAGAGAUGUGACAAGAUGAGCUGAAGAUGAUGGGGAAGUCGUUUAGUGAGAAUCAGCCUUGAUAGAGUGGAUUGAGUGGAGACCAUGGUUCAAAUCCCUGUUUGGCCAAAAAAAUCUGCUGAGUAACCUUGGACAAUAACAGUAGACUUGACAAUUUGGAAUUGUCCCAGGCCCUGAGGCUUCCAGGUUAAACCCUGAGACCUAGCAAAAAAACCCUGGUGAUGUCAUUAAGUGAUAUUAAUUAAAAUCAACUAAACAUUUUCACAUCUUAUCAUCAAAACACACAUUUACACUUACACCAUGUCCCCUUAUUUUCCUGUUUAGAAAUCUUAGCGAAAGGCUGGUUCACAGAUCAAGGUGAAAUGACGAUUUUUUCCUAUUUGCCUUUAGCCAGAAGGCAGAUGCAGAGCAGUGUGGGAAAUGAGUCCUGGCACCGCAAAAACUAGGGGGGGGGGGGGGAAGAAGGAAGAUAACAGUAAACACACACACCAAUAGGUUUUGCAAGUUGCAUCAAUAAAUCAAUUAAGCCUUGUAAAUUAUAGCAAGCUACUGCUACAUGCCUGAGGAUAAGCCUACCAAACUUGGAGAAUUUGCACCUUCAUCUCCUGCCUGGAAAUGAUCCCCAAAACUAGAAACUUGUGGUCUAAGAUUUGGCAACAGGAUAAUCCAGCUCAGUGAUAGACCUUUAAAAAUGAGUUGUUGUUGUUUUUUUUUUUACUAUUGCCCACAGAAUCCCACAGUCUUCUUGAUAACUGGAUCUGCUAGAAAGGGGCUUUUGGCACUCUAAUUAAA